rnacentral:lncRNA from 1 species
AUUAUUUCUUGGUAGAAUCGAUAUCGAUUAUUCAGUAUUUUUUGUGGGGGUGGGUAGUAUUUUCUGAUACAUGUGUAAAAAGGAGAAGAGGAAAUCUACAAUUGUUUGUUUACAUUUCUGAAAAUGGCUGUGAUAUUCUGAUUGUAAGUAUUAAAAUGUUAAAUAUCUGUUGACUUAAAUAUUAGGCGCUCUUUAGGCCUUCCACCACAGAUGCCCUGGUCGACGCCUUUGGAUCCUCGGUUCGCUUUUUGAUGUCCGUAUUAGAUGUCUCGUGCUGACGUCUGUCUGCUGCAGCUGCCAUGAAGACAUCAAAAAACCAGUGAGCAGCAGGCCUACAGCCGGCCACUGUAGGUGUUGUAGUGGCCCUCUCGUGCUAUUGGAGAUUGGAUCUGGUCCAGUCCGUGCGGAAGUGGCUGUAUUUGGCCGCUCCAUGCCCCAGGCCAGAGGAUUUGCCUGAAUUUGGCCAGCUGCCGAGUGAACUUUAGUGAGUCGACCUCGCUCUGUGCGCUCCAGCAUGGCUCCGGAAGCUGUGGAAUAGAGAAAAACAGAGUUUUUGCCACCCUGAUCGGCAUUAUUAAUUUCCCUUCUUCUUUUUUUAGGAGCUCUGCAGAUUCUGGCCUCCAGGUGCACGACGGCCAAACUUCCAGCUGGAGCCACUUCUUGUUGAUCAGUGCGGGCUCGGUUAUCUUCAGCAGUAAAUGCGGCGUCCAUCGCGUCGUCCAGUUCCCUUUCCAGUCGCUGUUGAAGGGAGUUCAUUCCCUCCUCUAGCAGCUGCUCAGGAGUAGGCGGAGGGAGCUCAUGUGGUUCGAGUGGAGUCAUUAUUAGCCUCGGUAUGUAUUCUGGUUCAAAACGGAUUCUUUCUGCCAUUUCUAACCGAGUUGUUUCUCCAUUUUUCAGCAUCCGGCAACGUGAUUGACCCAGCAUAUGGAUGGUCUCUCCUGUGGGAUUCCGAGGGCUAUACGUCGUUCUUGCUCCAGCCGUUUUCGCUGAUCAGAUGCCUCCUUGGCUCGGGCCUCAUUAAACAGACGCUGCUGUUCAAGUGCAAUCUGCUCACGGUGAAUUAAAGUUGGCAGCGGCUGCUGCUGUUGGGCUGCUGCUUCCUGCAAGAGCUGCUGUUGGAGCGGAAGAACGUGAGUUUCCAGAUGCCUUUUGUAUCUCGGCCGUUCCAAUCUCCGGGGGAUGAAUGGAUGCAUAAUAAGCUUUCUUGCUUCCAGAUUUGGAUGAGUAGAGAGUGAUGUUGCCAUUCUGCUGCUAUCCGUGUUAAAGAUGUUCUCUGCUGAGUCGAUGUUGUGUGCCUCUCAGAUGUCCUGGCUUCUGAUGUAUCUGCUGGCCAUUGCAAUCAUAUCAUAUCAUAUUUCCAUAUCGGGGCGAUUAAUUGCUUAUAUACAACCAUUUUGCAUUCUUUUGACAGACGGCUCUGACUGCCUAUAAUCCAGUUUAACUUGAUGGCUGCUAACCUCACUCUAUCAACCAGACAUGAUACGUGUGCAUGCAGAACCAGCUUCCUGUCCAUUAUCAGGCCUAGGUAGCGGUGACUGGACUUAUUAACAAUAUGAGUAUCAUACAUUUUUGGUGACAGUUCUCUAAUUCCAUUUUCAAUUGAUUUCCUUGUGUAUAAUACAUGUAUCGUUUUAUCUUUGUUUAGGCUGAUGCCACAUUUAGAGGCCCAGGAGGUGAAGCUUUGGAGAUAUUUCUCCUUCGUACGGACCGCUGUAGUGGCCAAGCUUCUGGCACACAGGAUGAUGGUGUCGUCUGCGUAUGUAGAUAGCAACAUGUCCUUAUAGUAAUCUGACCUCCAUCUAUCAUUUUGUCCCUCUAGGUGCGGCAGCGGCAUGUCUGACGUGAAAACAGUGUACAACACGGGGCCAAGGACACUCCCCUGUGGGACUCCAGCGCAGAUUUUUCCGGAUCUAGAUCGUAGUCCGUUUUGGCCAUUUACAAUAAAUGAUCUAUUAGUGAG